rnacentral:rRNA from 1 species
UACGGGGGGAGCAAGCGUUGUUCGGAUUUACUGGGCGUAAAGGGCGCGUAGGCGGUCGUGACAAGUCACUUGUGAAAUCUCCGGGCUUAACUCGGAACGGUCAAGUGAUACUGUCGGACUAGAGUACAGAAGGGGCAACUGGAAUUCUCGGUGUAGCGGUGAAAUGCGUAGAUAUCGAGAGGAACACCUGCGGCGAAGGCGGGUCUCUGGGCCGUAACUGACGCUGAGGCGCGAAAGCGUGGGGAGCAAAACGG